GUUUUCAUCUUGGUGACAAGAAGACAACGCUUUGGACUUCACGCACUGUCUACCAUCUUAUCCUAACAGUGAUGGCGAAAGUUUCCGGCCUCUUCAUGCUGGUCGCUUCUGGGAUUGCUGCUCAGCUCCUGGCUUACCCGGCGGGCGCCAUUGGAUUGCCGUUGAUGAUGCUGUGUAUCCUACGGGGCCGUGCGGACGUUCCGACAACUGAAGACGCUUGAGGCGAGCACGUGAAGGAACCGACGAGCAUACUGGGAGCAGACACGAUGUCUAUGUGGAGGCUUAGUAGAACGAGAACCAUAUAAAGUGCACAUCAUGAUGUAAGACUUCGGCCUUCCCUAUGGAUGAUAAAAUAUGGAUGAUAAAAAAACACUUUAGGAAUAAAUUUGUUUUGUACCUAU